AUACGUAGGGGGCAAGCGUUAUCCGGAUUUACUGGGUGUAAAGGGAGCGUAGACGGAAUGGCAAGUCUGAUGUGAAAGGCCGGGGCUCAACCCCGGGACUGCAUUGGAAACUGUCAGGCUAGAGUGCAGGAGGGGUAAGCGGAAUUCCUAGUGUAGCGGUGAAAUGCGUAGAUAUUAGGAAGAACACCGGUGGCGAAGGCGGCUAUCUGGACAGUAACUGACGCUGAGGCGCGAAAGCGUGGGGAGCAAACAGGAUUAGAUACCCUGGUAGUCCACGCUAUAAACGAUGAGUGCUAGGUGUCGGGGGUCAAACCUCGGUGCCGCAGUUAACACAUUAAGCACUCCGCCUGGGGAGUACGGCCGCAAGGCUGAAACUCAAAUGAAUUGACGGGG
rnacentral:rRNA from 1 species